rnacentral:rRNA from 1 species
AACGAACGCUGGCGGCAGGCCUAACACAUGCAAGUCGAGCGAAGCCCUCGGGCUUAGCGGCGGACGGGUGAGUAACGCGUGGGAACGUGCCCUUUGGUACGGAAUAGCCCCGGGAAACUGGGAGUAAUACCGUAUGUGGUCGAGAGACGAAAGAUUUAUCGCCAAAGGAUCGGCCCGCGUUGGAUUAGGUAGUUGGUGGGGUAAUGGCCUACCAAGCCGACGAUCCAUAGCUGGUUUGAGAGGAUGAUCAGCCACACUGGGGCUGAGACACGGCCCAGACUCCUACGGGAGGCAGCAGUGGGGAAUCUUAGACAAUGGGGGAAACCCUGAUCUAGCCAUGCCGCGUGAUCGAUGAAGGCCUUAGGGUUGUAAAGAUCUUUCAGUGGGGAAGAUAAUGACUGUACCCACAGAAGAAGCCCCGGCUAACUACGUGCCAGCAGCCGCAGUAAAAC